AUUGAACGCUGGCGGCAUGCUUUACACAUGCAAGUCGGACGGCAGCACAGAGAAGCUUGCUUCUUGGGUGGCGAGUGGCGAACGGGUGAGUAACAUAUCGGAACGUACCGAGCAGUGGGGGAUAACUAAUCGAAAGAUUAGCUAAUACCGCAUAUUUUCUGAGGAAGAAAGCAGGGGACCAUUUGGCCUUGCGCUGUUUGAGCGGCCGAUAUCUGAUUAGCUAGUUGGUGGGGUAAAGGCCUACCAAGGCGACGAUCAGUAGCGGGUCUGAGAGGAUGAUCCGCCACACUGGGACUGAGACACGGCCCAGACUCCUACGGGAGGCAGCAGUGGGGAAUUUUGGACAAUGGGCGCAAGCCUGAUCCAGCCAUGCCGCGUGUCUGAAGAAGGCCUUCGGGUUGUAAAGGACUUUUGUCAGGGAAGAAAAGGGCGGGGUUAAUACCUCUGUCUGAAGA
rnacentral:rRNA from 1 species